rnacentral:snoRNA from 1 species
AAGACUAUACUUUCAGGGAUCAUUUCUAUAGUUUGUUACUAAUUUAUCUAAUUUUCAUUAUAGCCAGCCAGACUUCAUUCGCAAG